UUCCAGACUCCUACGGGAGGCAGCAGUGGGGAAUAUUGCACAAUGGGGGAAACCCUGAUGCAGCGACGUCGCGUGAGUGAUGAAGUAUUUCGGUAUGUAAAGCUCUAUCAGCAGGGAAGAAAAUGACGGUACCUGACUAAGAAGCCCCGGCUAACUACGUGCCAGCAGCCGCGGUAAUACGUAGGGGGCAAGCGUUAUCCGGAUUUACUGGGUGUAAAGGGAGCGUAGACGGCGAUGCAAGCCAGAUGUGAAAGCCCGGGGCUCAACCCCGGGACUGCAUUUGGAACUGUGUGGCUGGAGUGUCGGAGAGGCAGGCGGAAUUCCUAGUGUAGCGGUGAAAUGCGUAGAUAUUAGGAGGAACACCAGUGGCGAAGGCGGCCUGCUGGACGAUGACUGACGUUGAGGCUCGAAAGCGUGGGGAGCAAACAGGAUUAGAUACCCGCGUA
rnacentral:rRNA from 1 species